rnacentral:lncRNA from 10 species
GCACAGUAAUAGAGUAACACAAUAAUAAAAUAGAACAAUUAUAACAAUACGCCAGCGUCGCUUCUCUUCUGCUUUGGGGCCACUAUUCAUUCAAGUAAGGGUGACUUGAACCCAAGCACCAUAAUACCACUGCAGUCGAGCUGUUAACCAAGACGAAGUGACUAACGGGCAGGCCGCGUGGCUGAUUCACAUCCCAGGUGGGACGGAGCAGGAUGUGUAAGAUUUCAUUACGCUACUCAAAACGGCAUGCAACUUAACACUUACAAAAUAUUUAUUUCUGGAAUUUUCCAUUUAAUAUUUUCAGACUGCAGUUGACAGCAGAUAACUGAAAGCUCGGAAAGCGAAACCGUGGAUAAGCAGGGGAACUGUGGCAUCCCAUUUAAAAUUGCUUCUGAAGAGAAGCAUGAGGUUACAUCUGUAAUCUCCCUGCAGCAGAGUCAACUGCAUAAGAAACCAAAAGACACACCUGCUCCAUGCCAGCCUAAGCCACCACAUAAAAAGUCAGACCAUCUGCUGGAAGAACCACAUGGAGAGGCCCUGAGUCAACAUGGAGAGGAAGAAGGACUUGACUGAAUCCAGCCUUCCAGCUGUCCCUACCAAGGUGCCAGGCAUGAGAAUGAAGCUGUCUUGAACUCUGAAGACCAGCUUAGCCACCAGGUAAAUGCCACUAAGUGACCUCACUCAAUGUCAUGUGGGACGGAAGAAUCACCCCGCCAAACCCUUCCUGGAUCCCUGACCCAGAAAUUUGUCAGAUGUAAUGGUUGUGAAAAGCCAUUCAAUUUGGGGGCAGUUUGUAUGCAGCAUAGCUAGCUGGUAUGAUACAACAGCCUGCAAUUCAGGCAGCAGCAGCACUAACAACGAUGAAAUCCUGCAGGAGCGAACUCCUUUGGGGU